AGUCGAGCGAGUCUGCCUUGAAGAUCGGAGUGCUUGCACUCUGUGAAACAAGAUACAGGCUAGCGGCGGACGGGUGAGUAACACGUGGGUAACCUGCCCAAGAGAUCGGGAUAACACCUGGAAACAGAUGCUAAUACCGGAUAACAACAGAUGAUGCCUAUCAACUGUUUAAAAGAUGGUUCUGCUAUCACUCUUGGAUGGACCUGCGGUGCAUUAGCUAGUUGGUAGGGUAACGGCCUACCAAGGCGAUGAUGCAUAGCCGAGUUGAGAGACUGAUCGGCCACAUUGGGACUGAGACACGGCCCAAACUCCUACGGGAGGCAGCAGUAGGGAAUCUUCCACAAUGGACGCAAGUCUGAUGGAGCAACGCCGCGUGAGUGAAGAAGGGUUUCGGCUCGUAAAGCUCUGUUGUUGGUGAAGAAGGACGGGGGUAGUAACUGACCUUUGUUUGACGGUAAUCAAUUAGAAAGUCACGGCUAACUACGUGCCAGCAGCCGCGGUAAUACGUAGGUGGCAAGCGUUGUCCGGAUUUAUUGGGCGUAAAGCGAGUGCAGGCGGUUCGAUAAGUCUGAUGUGAAAGCCUUCGGCUCAACCGGAGAAUUGCAUCAGAAACUGUCGAGCUUGAGUACAGAAGAGGAGAGUGGAACUCCAUGUGUAGCGGUGAAAUGCGUAGAUAUAUGGAAGAACACCGGUGGCGAAGGCGGCUCUCUGGUCUGUUACUGACGCUGAGGCUCGAAAGCAUGGGUAGCGAACAGGAUUAGAUACCCUGGUAGUCCAUGCCGUAAACGAUGAGUGCUAAGUGUUGGGAGGUUUCCGCCUCUCAGUGCUGCAG
rnacentral:rRNA from 1 species